rnacentral:rRNA from 1 species
UACGGGGGGGGCAAGCGUUGUUCGGAAUUACUGGGCGUAAAGGGCUCGUAGGUGGCCAACUAAGUCGGACGUGAAAUCCCUCGGCUUAACCGGGGAACUGCGUCCGAUACUGGUUGGCUUGAGUUUGGGAGAGGGAUGCGGAAUUCCAGGUGUAGCGGUGAAAUGCGCAGAUAUCAGGAGGAACACCAAUGGCGAAGGCAGCUCGCUGGAACGGUACUGACGCUGAGGCGCGAAAGCGUGGGGAGCAAACAGG